UGCAAGUCGAGGGGCAGCACGAUCUUCGGAUUGGUGGCGACCGGCGCACGGGUGCGUAACGCGUAUAGAACCACCUUUUACAGAGGGAUAGCCCAGAGAAAUUUGGAUUAAUACCUCAUAGUAUUAUAGAUUGGCACCGAUUUAUAAUUAAACAUUUAUGGGUAAGAGAUGGCUAUGCGUCCUAUUAGUUAGUUGGUAAGGUAACGGCUUACCAAGACAGCGAUAGGUAGGGGUCCUGAGAGGGAGACCCCCCACACUGGUACUGAGACACGGACCAGACUCC
rnacentral:rRNA from 2 species